rnacentral:rRNA from 1 species
UCGGGAAUUUUGGGCAAUGGGCGAAAGCCUGACCCAGCAACGCCGCGUGAGGGAUGAAGUAUUUCGGUAUGUAAACCUCGAAAGAAUGGGAAGAAUAAAUGACGGUACCAUUUAUAAGCUCCGGCUAACUACGUGCCAGCAGCCGCGGUAAUACGUAGGGAGCAAGCGUUGUUCGGAUUUACUGGGCGUAAAGGGCGCGUAGGCGGCGCGGUAAGUCACUUGUGAAAUCUCUGAGCUUAACUCAGAACGGCCAAGUGAUACUGCUGAGCUAGAGUGCGGAAGAGGCAACCGGAAUUCUUGGUGUAGCGGUGAAAUGCGUAGAUAUCAAGAGGAACACCUGAGGCGAAGGCGGGUUGCUGGGCCGACACUGACGCUGAUGCGCGAAAGCCAGGGGAGCAAACG